rnacentral:rRNA from 1 species
GGGAAAACCCUGAUCGCAGCCAUGCCGCGUGCUGUGAAGAAGGCCUUCGGGUUGUAAAGUACUUUCAGUAGGGAGGAAAGGUGAUUGUGUUAAUAGCUCAUUGUUGUGACGUUACCUACAGAAGAAGCACCGGCUAACUCCGUGCCAGCAGCCGCGGUAAUACGGAGGGUGCGAGCGUUAAUCGGAAUUACUGGGCGUAAAGCGUGCGCAGGCGGUUUGGUAAGCCAGAUGUGAAAUCCCCGGGCUCAACCUGGGAAUUGCAUUUGGAACUGGCGAACUAGAGUGGGUAGAGGGGGGUAGAAUUCCAGGUGUAGCGGUGAAAUGCGUAUAUAUAUGGAGGAACACCGGUGGCGAAGGCGGCCCCCUGGGCAAAUACUGACGCUCAGCACG